AACGAACGCUGGCGGCAUGCCUAACACAUGCAAGUCGAACGAGACCUUCGUGUCUAGUGGCGCACGGGUGCGUAACGCGUGGGAACCUGCCCUUAGGUUCGGAAUAACUCCCCGAAAGGGGUGCUAAUACCGGAUAAUGUCUUCGGACCAAAGAUUUAUCGCCUUUGGAUGGGCCCGCGUUGGAUUAGCUAGUUGGUAGGGUAAAAGCCUACCAAGGCGACGAUCCAUAGCUGGUCUGAGAGGAUGAUCAGCCACACUGGGACUGAGACACGGCCCAGACUCCUACGAGAGGCAGCAGUGGGGAAUAUUGGACAAUGGGCGAAAGCCUGAUCCAGCAAUGCCGCGUGAGUGAUGAAGGCCUUAGGGUUGUAAAGCUCUUUUACCCGGAUGAUAAUGACAGUACCGGGAGAAUAAGCUCCGGCUAACUCCGUG
rnacentral:rRNA from 1 species